rnacentral:rRNA from 1 species
AUUGAACGCUGGCGGCAGGCUUAACACAUGCAAGUCGAGCGGAGAGAGGUAGCUUGCUACUGAUCUUAGCGGCGGACGGGUGAGUAAUGCUUAGGAAUCUGCCUAUUAGUGGGGGACAACAUUUCGAAAGGAAUGCUAAUACCGCAUACGUCCUACGGGUGAAGGCAGGGGAUCUUCGGACCUUGCGCUAAUAGAUGAGCCUAAGUCGGAUUAGCUAGUUGGUGGGGUAAAGGCCUACCAAGGCGACGAUCUGUAGCGGGUCUGAGAGGAUGAUCCGCCACCCUGGGACUGAGACACGGCCCAGACUCCUACGGGAGGCAGCAGUGGGGAAUAUUGGACAAUGGGCGGAAGCCUGAUCCAGCCAUGCCGCGUGUGUGAAGAAGGCCUUAUGGUUGUAAAGCACUUUAAGCGAGGAGGAGGCUACUUUAGUUAAUACCUAGAGAUAGUGGACGUUACUCGCAGAAUAAGCACCGGCUAACUCUGUGCCAGCCGCCGCCGUAACAC